AUCCUUAAGCAAAAAAAAAACAAAAUUAUUAACAUUCUUAUCCCUAAAACUGCUUCUAAAAAAUUUGAAGCGACAACACCGGAGCUUAAGCGCCUGAGCCAUACGCGUAGUGUCAUCUGUCAAACGGCUUUUUGUUUAUUUUCGGGAUUCGUGUAUUUUCUUUAAUUUUCGGUUUCAAAAGGAAAAAGGCCACAUUUUAGUGUUUUUUUAAAUUGCUAGGAUGGGAAAAACUUGUGUCGUUUGUGCCGCAUCAUGAUAAAAAGGUGAUUUAAGCCGAUCUUUUCACAAGAUUUCUGAUGCACUGGUUAAAAACACAGCAGUGGAUAAUUCAGUUAAUUUACCAAGUGAUUUAUCCUUCAAAGCUGCAGGGGCAGCUUUCCUGAAGAGUGCAAAAACUUCUUUAGCUUCCAAAAUGGUAUAUAGUACAAACAGUGAAGCUAAUAUAGAUAAAUCUGAUCAUUCAUCAUCAACAAUAACUGCAUCUGAGAUUAAUAGUUCUACAGUAAUCGUGGGGUCUAGGUCAACAAUUACUAUUUCUCAUCCAAACCGUUUUUGUUUAACUGGUACACAUUCCCUGAGUCUGCCAAGGAAAAGGGUAAAAUCAAAAUGAUAUCCUGAGGACCUAAGCACUGAUGAUUCCACCGUUUUAAAAGCUAAAUCACUUGUCACCAAAUUAGAGAAAAAAAAUAAAGAAAAUUAAAAUUCGAAGAUUGCAACAAACAAAUUUGCGCCAAAGAAAUUGAAUUAGAUCUCAAGUCAUUAUUAAAAUACUUAAGAAAUAAUAAUAUGAUUUUCGAAAAAGCCCAACAUACUACAUAUUUUAUUUGACUUGUAAAAGUACUUGUUUGUAUAUUACUACUAAUAAACUAUCUAAUCUAUUGUAUAUAGUCUUUAUUCUUAGGUAAGCUUUGUUUUUUAGUAUAAAUUAAUAUGAUAUAAUAAUUGGU
rnacentral:lncRNA from 1 species